GUAUCGCUCUUACUGCUCUAAAUUUAUAUACUUAAAUACUAGAAACAAGAACUUGAAAUAUACGAUGAAAAAUGUACUUAGUUUUGGCAGUACAAACUGAACUCUUGAAAAUAAAUGUUGUAAUAUAUUAACGCAAAAACAAAUUGCUCUAAUUGCAGCUCCAUGUAAGCUGUCAUAUCCAUUACAUUGCUUUACAACCAGGUAGCACAGGUAUGUAGAUAGUACGGCUGAAGCACCUUUGCCGGAUAAAACGCAUGUUAAUUUUUGUGGAAAUGCGAGAAACACACGCAGCACACAAGGAUGCCAGGUGCAGCCACCACGUGGAAAUGCAACUGCGGAGGAGACUAGGCCCAGCGGAGUGAAACCAGAGGGUUGAUGGCAUCGGGAUGAAAUGUUGGACCAAACGAGAGCCACAAAUUGCGGCAGAAUGCAUUUUUCAAAAGACAAAACCGGAGAGGAGGAUGCAAUCUCAAGUGGUUAUCUCCGAGGCCCUCUGGACCUGUGGGACAUGGGGACCAAAGUCAACAUCAAAGUUCACGCCGACAAAGCGUCGAGAGUAAAUGUUUAAUGAGCGAGGCGCGCGGGGAGCGUAGUUUGCUAAAAAGGAGUAAAGGAUCACGACUCCUUCAAGCCCGGGCGCAAGCCAAUUAAAACAAAGGCCAAAAAACAAAUGCACUUCAAGGGGGGAAAGCUGGGGGGUAAGCGCGUUUGACAGUGUCAAAGGACCCGAGGAGCGAGCCUACCACGUGAAGUGUUUGGCAACAUUGUUGGACCUGCCAGGACCUUCCACGAACUCCCAGGACCUCCCAUUCCCACACCCCCCUUUUCCAUUCCCAGCACGUACUCUAAGCAACAGUUCUUCUUUGAAGUCAAAAGGAUUUUUUCCCAGGCUGCAGCAAAAAUCGCAGGCACAGUAAAUUAGCUACACUUCACUCGACUGUUUGGCCCCCGGGAAAGGAAAGGGGCUCAGGAAUUUCCACGGGAGAGUGGGGAAAAUUCCAUGCUGCAGCUGCUGCCUUCCGAAGUAUGGAUGACAUGCUAAUCAAGGUGGCAAAUUAAUCGGGAAGAAGAAAACUUGAUCGAUGGAUUGAAGUGGGCCAAGGGAAAUGGUCUCUAAUUGAAGCUGAAAAGUUAACUAAGAUAACCCCCUGCCAGUCUAGACUCAACAGUUGACCAGUUAUUACGAGUGGGUUAACAGUCCAACACCGGCUAAAAGCGGGCCAAAAGCCUAGACCAACUUGAAUGAAUGGAGCAAAAGCCGAUGCCAUUCAAUUCUAUAUCAAAAGAAUUCCCUUUUUUAUGUACCUCAAUCAGCGGCGCUCGGAGGAAAUAUUUAUUAAUUAACCAUUAUCGCCGACUGGACCCUGCUGAUUCCGAUUCCGAAUACGAUUCUGGUCCUGAUGCGUUGUUGAUGAUAAAUGGAUGUCUGAAGUGCAAUUUGCAUGCGAGCUGAACAAAAAGGGUGUUGCGGGGGGCGAAAAAGAGAGAGGGAGAGAAAGAGAGGAAAUCAGCGGUGGCUAUUGAUGCCAUUGAGAUGUGGACACAAAACAGCCGGACAGAGGGACUUCCGGACGUGAUGGCAACCUGUCCGCUGAUGAGCAUCAUUAUGCCAAAGGACAAGCUGCUCGUCCUGCGGAUCGGGCUCGCAAGAGUUGACAAUUAUGACAGACGCAGGCACUGGACAUUUCAUUCGUCGUUGCUGCUGGAAUUAACGC
ensembl:ncRNA lncRNA:CR46216 long non-coding RNA:CR46216